CUACUUGAGGUACAUACAGGCAUACAUACAAUUCAUGGAUUGUGUCCAUACCAUUUCUUGAUUUAGUCAGCCUUUUAGUUUGUGUGCUUUGGUGUCAAAAAAUUGAUAAUUGGCCUUAUUUUUAUUUGGGUACUUGAAUUUGAUAUAAAAAUUAUAUCUUUGUACCUAUUGUUGGUUUUCAGCUUAUUCAUUUGGCUGUUUUUGAUAUCAAAGUUUGAUUUUUGGCUUUUCUGGUAUCUGGGUACUUGAAUUUUGAUAAAAAGGUGAAAUCUUUGUGAUUGAUAUAGGGCUAUUUCGGGCUCAUUUAAACUGUAAAAAUGGGGGAUCAUUUAGUUGUUGNUAUAUCUCAUCAUUGAUGAUGUUUUUUUUUGUCAAACAUUGACGAAGACAUGAGAUGAUGAGAAGAUAAUACUUCAUUUUGUACGAUAUAAAAUUUAGAAAAAUAUAGCAGCACACAAGACAGGAAAUUGAGGGGAAAUAAAUAAAUGGGGAACGCGGAAUUGACGAAAGGGUGAACUCAUCUUUCUUCCCUUCCCUUCUUCUUCCACAAAGAGAGAGAGGGAGGAAAAUACCAACAACAAACCACCAAGACCCUUUCUCGGUGGGCCCCACCCCCUCACAAACGCGCUUCCCUAUUCUUUCCCAGGUACAUAUAUAUACAUACAAUAAUACUUACAUUAUUUUUCACACCCAUUUUCUUGGUUUUAUCAGCUUCUUCAUUUUGGUGAAUUUUUUGUAUCAAGUGUUUGGUAUUGGGAUUUUCUUGCAUUUGGGUACUUGUGUUUUGGUAAAAAGGUUGGAUCUUUGUGAUUAUCAUAAAGGUAUUUUGAGGUACAUUUCUUGGUUAAGUCAACUUUUUUUCAUUUGGGUAUUUGCAUUUUGGUAAAAAGAUUGUAACUUUGUGAUUAUAAUAAAGAUUUUUUAGGUACAUAGAUUGUGUUCACACAUAUUUGGUGCUUUUUAUAUCAAGAAUUUCAUAAUUGAAUUUGAAGUUUAGGUAAAAAGAUUGUAUCUUUGUGAUUAUCAUAGAUAUAUUUGAGGGUACAUAUUUUGUGUUCACACAUAUCUGUUGUUUUAGUCAGCUUCUUUAUUUUGGUGCUUAUCGUGCCAAGAAUUUGAAAUUUGAACUUUUUUCCCAUUUGGAUGUUCGAUAUUUGGUGAAAAUAUUGUAUCUUUGUGAUUAGCAUAGAGCUACUUGAGGUACAUACAGGCAUACAUACAAUUCAUGGAUUGUGUCCAUACCAUUUCUUGAUUUAGUCAGCCUUUUAGUUUGUGUGCUUUGGUGUCAAAAAAUUGAUAAUUGGCCUUAUUUUUAUUUGGGUACUUGAAUUUGAUAUAAAAAUUAUAUCUUUGUACCUAUUGUUGGUUUUCAGCUUAUUCAUUUGGCUGUUUUUGAUAUCAAAGUUUGAUUUUUGGCUUUUCUGGUAUCUGGGUACUUGAAUUUUGAUAAAAAGGUGAAAUCUUUGUGAUUGAUAUAGGGC
rnacentral:lncRNA from 1 species